UACAGAGGUCUCAAGCGUUGUUCGGAUUCACUGGGCGUAAAGGGUGCGUAGGUGGCGGGGUAAGUCUGACGUGAAAUCUCCGAGCUUAACUCGGAAACGGCGUCGGAUACUAUCUCGCUCGAGGGUUGGAGGGGGGACUGGAAUACUUGGUGUAGCAGUGAAAUGCGUAGAUAUCAAGUGGAACACCAGUGGCGAAGGCGAGUCCCUGGACAACACCUGACACUGAGGCACGAAAGCUAGGGGAGCAAACAGG
rnacentral:rRNA from 1 species